AUGGAGAACUUCAGAGCUUCAGGGAUGCCCCUCUCCCCCAUCGGCGGCUGCGGCAGCGGCACGGCGUCCAGCAGCGCCUGGGCCCUCGGCACGACCUGGAACUGGCCGUCCCGGCAGGCAUCCUCCGGCGGCGACAUGGACAUGGGCACGGCCGGCGGCGCCUUCCCGUGGCCCAUCGGCUCGCCGUACAGCAGCUGGGACCCAACCCACCAGGGCAGCGGCGCCCCUCCGGAGGCCUGGCUCGCGGCGGCGGCGGCGGCGGCGAGCAGCUGCUGCCCCGCAAAUCCCUCGUGGUGGUUCUUGAAGCUCAUCAUUGCGGCGGUCCGGAUGUGA
rnacentral:rRNA from 1 species